UUGAUGGUACCUUGCUACUCGGAUAACCGUAGUAAAACUAGAGCUAAUACGUGCGUAAAUCCCGACUCACGAAGGGACGUAUUUAUUAGAUCCAAGACCGACCGUGCUUGCACGCUCUUGGUGAAUCAUGAUAACUUCACGAAUCGCAUGGCCUCGUGCCGGCGAUGUUUCAUUCAACUUUCUGCCCUAUCAACUUUCGACGGUAGUAUAGAGGACUACCGUGGUAGUAACGGGUGACGGAGGAUUAGGGUUCGAUUCCGGAGAG
rnacentral:rRNA from 1 species